rnacentral:lncRNA from 1 species
CGAUCAUGGAACUCGAAAAAUCUAUGAAUGUAUUACCAAUAACUUUGCCUUAAAUAAAAGUUUCUUUCAUAUUUGCAUAUCUUUUCUUUUGGCAUGAGCUCAUAACGACAGGGAGUAGCUCCUUCCGAUAAUCAAAACUAAGCAUGUUAGGAACAGGAGGAGGACCUCAUCCUAACACGAACAAAGUCGAAGGCCCGGUUACUUA